GUCCACGCCGUAAACGAUGAGUACUAGGUGUUGCGGGUAUUGACCCCUGCAGUGCCGCAGCUAACGCAUUAAGUACUCCGCCUGGGAAGUACGGUCGCAAGACUAAAACUCAAAUGAAUUGACGGGGGCCCCGCACAAGCGGUGGAGCAUGUGGUUUAAUUCGACGCAACGCGCAGAACCUUACCUGGUCUUGACAUCUACGGAACCUUAGUGAAAGCUAGGGGUGCCUUUCGGGGAGCCGUAAGACAGGUGCUGCAUGGCUGUCGU
rnacentral:rRNA from 1 species